UGCCCUGGGUGUGGAGCGCCGGCCAGGUGUGGGCUUGGGUGGUUGGUUACCGCCUUUUGCCCUGGCGGCCGCGAGGAGGGGGGUGGGCGCUUUCUUUUUCUCUUGGAAGAGGCUUUUAGCACAGGUUUUCUCGUUCUCACUUCCAACCCCACCUCGCCACCUCCCGAACCCCCUCCUCCCCCUCCCCACCUAUCGUCAUGACGGCGUCUCCGGAUUACUUGGUGGUGCUUUUUGGGAUCACUGCUGGGGCCACCGGAGCCAAGCUGGGUUCAGAUGAGAAGGAACUGAUCCUGCUGUUAUGGAAAGUCGUGGAUUUGGCCAACAAGAAGGUGGGACAGUUGCACGAAGUACUAGUUAGACCGGACCAGUUGGACCUGACUGAGGAUUGUAAAGAAGAAACUAAAAUUGACGCCGAAAGCCUGUCUUCCGCGCCGCAGCUGGACCAAGCCCUCCGACAGUUUAACCAGUCAGUGAGCAAUGAGCUGAACAUUGGGGUAGGCACUUCCUUCUGUUUGUGUACUGACGGGCAGCUUCAUGUCAGGCAGAUCCUGCAUCCCGAGGCUUCCAAGAAGAAUGUAUUACUACCUGAAUGCUUCUAUUCCUUUUUUGAUCUUCGAAAAGAAUUCAAGAAAUGUUGCCCUGGCUCACCUGAUAUCGACAAGCUGGACGUAGCAGCGAUGGCCGAGAGUCUAAACUUUGAGAAGAAUGACUCCGUCUCCCGAUACGGAGCCUCUCAAGUUGAAGAUAUGGGGAACAUAAUUUUAGCCAUGAUCUCAGAGCCUUACAAUCACAGGUUUUCAGAUCCAGAAAGAGUAAACUACAAAUUUGAAAGUGGUACAUGCAGCAAGAUGGAACUCAUUGACGACAACACAGUCGUGAGGGCCCGAGGCUUGCCCUGGCAGUCUUCAGAUCAAGACAUCGCCAGGUUCUUCAAAGGACUCAAUAUCGCCAAGGGAGGUGCAGCCCUCUGUCUGAAUGCUCAGGGAAGGAGGAACGGAGAAGCACUGGUUAGGUUUGUGAGUGAGGAGCACAGAGAUCUAGCCCUGCAGAGGCACAAACAUCACAUGGGGAACCGGUACAUCGAGGUUUACAAAGCAACGGGUGAAGACUUUCUUAAGAUUGCUGGAGGGACAUCCAAUGAGGUAGCCCAGUUCCUCUCCAAGGAAAAUCAGGUCAUCGUCCGCAUGCGGGGGCUCCCUUUCACCGCCACCGCUGAGGAGGUAGUCGCCUUCUUCGGACAGCAUUGCCCUAUCACCGGGGGAAAGGAAGGCAUCCUCUUCGUCACCUAUCCGGAUGGUAGGCCGACGGGAGAUGCCUUUGUGCUCUUCGCAUGUGAGGAAUACGCUCAGAACGCCCUACGGAAGCACAAGGACUUGUUGGGUAAAAGAUACAUCGAGCUCUUCCGGAGCACGGCGGCCGAAGUGCAGCAGGUGCUGAAUCGAUUCUCUUCAGCCCCUCUGAUUCCACUUCCAAACCCUCCCAUGAUCCCGGUGCUAACUCAGCAGUUUGUGCCCCCCACAAAUGUAAGAGACUGUAUUCGUCUGCGAGGCCUUCCCUAUGCUGCCACCGUUGAGGACAUUCUGGACUUCCUGGGGGAGUUUUCCACAGAUAUUCGGACGCAUGGGGUUCACAUGGUGUUGAACCACCAGGGCCGCCCGUCAGGAGAUGCCUUUAUCCAGAUGAAGUCUGCAGACAGAGCAUUCUUGGCUGCGCAGAAGUAUCAUAAAAAAGUCAUGAAGGACAGAUAUGUGGAAGUCUUUCAGUGUUCAGCUGAGGAGAUGAACUUUGUGUUAAUGGGGGGCACUUUAAAUCGAAAUGGCUUAUCCCCACCGCCAUGUAAGUUACCAUGCCUGUCUCCUCCUUCCUACACGUUCCCUGCUCCUGCAGCCGUGAUCCCUACCGAAGCUGCCAUUUAUCAGCCAUCUCUGCUCUUCAGUCCCCGGGCACUGCAGCCCUCCACAGCAUACUACCCGGCAGGUACUCAGCUCUUCAUGAACUACACAGCCUACUACCCCAGCCCCCCAGGUUCGCCUAAUAGUCUUGGCUACUUCCCUACAGCCGCCAAUCUUAGCAGUGUCCCGCCCCAGCCCGGCACGGUGGUCAGAGUGCAGGGCCUGGCCUACAAUACUGGAGUUAAGGAAAUUCUUAACUUCUUCCAAGGUUACCAGUAUGCAACCGAGGAUGGACUUGUCCUCCACACAAAUGACCAGGCCAGGACUCUAUCCAAAGAAUGGGUUUGUAUUUAAGGGCCCGAGCAGUUAGAUCGUCCUCAGAAAAGAAGGUGGCCAACUAGAUGGCUCACUUGCUGCUCAUCCAGGACUGUCCCUAGGUUUGCGUCGCCCAGUGCCGCUCUGUGCUGCUCAGCGUGUAGGAGCUCGCUCUGCUCUGCCUGUCCCUGUAGCGAGGUCCCGGUUUACAGUCCUUGGAUCUUCACCUCCUCGAACUGCGUCAUCUUCCACCCAUAGAUGUCAUUGAGCUGUCGACCCCCAAACAACAGGGAACUGCACUUGGGAAGAAUGUUUCCUGUUCCUUACACACACGCGCGCGCGUCCCAUCAUGUUCUAACAUGAAGGGUGUUUUGCCUACGUGUAUAUUUGUGUACUACAGAGGCCAGAAGGGGUCGUCCUUAGCGAUGACUCUGUAAUCCCAGCACUUGGAGAAAGAUGGAAACAGGAGCUGGAAGGCGCAAUGCCAGCAUGGGGCACCCUACGCUAGCGUCUUUAAACAAACAACUCGUCAGAAAUUUGGACUUUGAUUCUUUUUUUUUUUUUUUCUUUUUUGUUUGAUUGAGACAGGGUCUAUUAGCCCAACCUAGUAUUUCAUACCUGGUGAGAUCAGUUAUCUUUUAAAGUUCCUGUGUCAGCUGUCCAGUCCUUUAGAGGCUGAGGCAGGAUUUCCAUGAGUUCCAGACCAGCCUAGACGGCACAAGAAGAACCCUGUCUCAGAAACUAAACCCAAAUCUCAGUGAGCUUCCAGACAGACUCAGGCUGGUCUGCAGCAUGAAACCUUCCUUGUCUCUAAAAGGAAAAGGAAAAAUAAUUCUCUUGUGUACACAAUACUUUAAUGAUAGUUUAUGACAAAAUAAGACAGUGUUUUAACAUGCAUCGUGCCAGAAAGGACAGACAGAUUUGUGAGUGUUUGCAUGUAAAACUUCACAAGUUAUCUUCGGGUCAUGAUAUUUGUUUUAUUGUUGCUAAAGAAGAAAAGGAAACUUUUUUUUUUCCCUGUGUCCUGAUUUUCUCUUUCCUGUUGUUGAAAUGCUGCAGCUUCAUCGUUAAGCCCUGACGUGCCACUGACAUCACAGAGACUAAGAAGCAGGUCUGAGGAGGCCAAGCAUCUAAUGUCCUCUUAAUAAUAAUUCUGACCCUUCCCCAAACACAACAGCUUAGGAUGGCAUACACUUUUAGGAGCCCAUAAAGUGUUUGAAAGACGCACAGUGAUCCUGAAACCGUCAGACAAGAAAGCUUCCAGCAAUUCCAGGGGACAUUUGCCUACACUCGGGCUGCAGUAUUUUCAGCCAGCCUGACUGGACAGCCGGCCUGGGCCUCAUCUUUUGGUGGAGUGAAAAAAGUUGAGCCAGUAAAGCCAAAUCUUUUUGUUUUUCCCCACGUGCACUGGCAAUGAGUUUAUUGGCCAUUUAGGGCAGUCACACACACAAAGACAAAGUACAAGGCAAUGAAGGACAGAGACCUGCAGCAUAGUCCCGUCCCCUGUCCCCUUCAGCAUUGUCUGCCUAACCUCCUCAUGACCCUCGUGUCCUCGUGGGCCUCAGAGAAGGCCCCCUCCUCCUUGCCUCACUCACACAAAGACCCACUUGGAAGCCAAAUCUUAAUAGCAAGCAGCACCCACGCACCUGGCUCCUUGCUGAGGGCAAGUCGGAAUUUAAAAUGUGAAUUUGACGUCAAAUGUCUCACUGCCAGCUAAAGUGGCAUUAAUUACUUCCUAAGUUUAAGUCUUAGAGUAAAACAUUCCACUAGUGCCCACCAUCCACCAUUAAUUGCUACGGAAGCUUCUUUGUGUGUUCCCACUCUUCUGUCUCCCCGUUCUCUGUAAAAUAAAACUCUCUUGCUAAGUAAUUUAAGUGUAAGUUCUUAGAAUACUUAAAUACCAAACUAAGAAAAGGAAUAAAAUAAAACUAAUAUUUCCUCAAAUAUUAGUUUUCAUCAAUAUGCCAGCAUGAUGCCUUAUAGUUAAAAACAGAUUUUUUUUAAAGCACCUCAGACAGACUGGGACUGUGGCUCAGUGGGAGAGAGCUUGCCUAGCAUGCUUGAGCCCUGGGUUCUAAUCCCGGCACCUCCUCCACUCAUGCCUAGUGAAAGGGUUUGGAUGUCUUCUCAGCAGGUACCGGUUGUAAAUAAGAAUGAAGUAGGGGCCAAAAUUGGAAACCAGAAGUGAAGCAGCUAUGUGUAGUUAGUAAUUUCUAGUGUGAGCUGUAACUGAGUGUUCAGCUUCAUAUGUAUUAUUUUAUAUUGUACUUUUUUCAUUGUUGAUGGUUUGGACUUUAAUAAGGAAAAACUCCAUAGUUUUUAAUGUCACAGAAAGAAGAUAUUUCAACAGUGUAUUCUGGAAGCAAUAUACUAACCAAAGUGAAUGCUUGUACAUAUUACGAGCCCUCUUCCCCAGUGCCUCAAUUGUCAAGUACUUAAAGCCUGUAAAACCGUGAGACUGUAGUCACUUGCAGACUGACGUGAUCGCUGAUGCGGCAGCGUGGAAACCAGCGCUCCAGAAGUGCAAUCCUAGACGCUAACCGGCCCUCUGCCUCGUGUAACUCAAGGGGAAAGUGAUUUGAUUCAAUGCACGAAUUUCUUUGUUGCUUGUGUUGUCCUUUGCUUGGAUGCAAUGCCAUGCAGCUUUUGCGGCUGCGAUUUUUAGUUAUUUCGCAUUAACACCCUCACUGGAGUCAACAUUACCCUCUUACUUGACCAAUAUUAGCCCUUCAACUGCAGCAGGAAGAGAAGACGAAAAAAAAAAAACAUUUUGUGGGAAAAUUGUUGAGAUCCGGCACUCGAAAUCAAACAAGAAUAAAAGUUCAUACUUGAUGCCUUAAGCCACUCCUGCCCGAAGCUCUGAGGGGCUUAGAUGGGCAGCGAUGCUUGCUAUAGUACUACUGUAUUUUUUGUAGAAUUGUUCACUAAUAAAACUUGCCUGCUUAAUCUCAAGGUCGGCAGUCUGUUCCUGACGAGGCUCGUGGGGGAGGUAACAGGUGGACCUUUCUGUUAGUGGGACGUCCUUUGCCCUCGUUUACUGUACACAGUUACAAAAGCUUCCAACAGCCGGGCGGUGGUGGCACACGCCUUUAAUCCCAGCACUCGGGAGUUCGAGACCAGCCUGGUCUACAAGAGCUAGUUCCAGGACAGGCUCCAAAACUACAGAGAAAUCCUGUCUCGAAAAACCAAAAAAAAAAAAAAGCUUCCAACAAGAGGCUCUUGAGUUCUGGAAAUUUCAACACCUGUGACGUAUUUGAACUUGCAUCUUUUGUGUUGGGCACCUGUCCAGGCCCGUGUGUGUGAAGUUAUUCUCCAACGUAGAUUUGAGACAGGAACGCCACUGAAUCUGCAGCUCAGUGAUGAUUCACCCCCCAGUGCCGGGGUUACCAUGGUUACCACCAUGCCCGUCUCCAUGAUUCACCUCCCAGUGCCGGGGUUACCGGGGUUACCAUGGUUACCACCGUGCCCGUCUCCAUGAUUCACCUCCCAGUGCCAUUAUCUACAGUUCCAGCUCUUUGUGUAGAGACAGGGUUUCACUAAAUUCUCCAACCUAGCAGU